rnacentral:rRNA from 1 species
GAUGAACGCUGGCGGCGUGCCUAAUACAUGCAAGUCGAGCGAACAGACCAGGAGCUUGCUCCUCUGACGUUAGCGGCGGACGGGUGAGUAACACGUGGAUAACCUACCUAUAAGACUGGGAUAACUUUGGGAAACCGGAGCUAAAACCGGAUAAUAUACUGAACCGCAUGGUUCAAUAGUGAAAGACGGUUUUGCUGUCACUUAUACAUGAAUCCGCGCAGCAUUAGCUAGUUGGUAAGGUAACGGCUUACCAAGGCAACGAAGCGUAGCCGACCCGGGAGCGCGCUCGCCCACGCUGGAACUAAGACACCGUCCACAGUCGUACAGGAGGCACCAGUCGGGAACCUUCCGAAAUGCGCGCAAGCCUGUCGGUGCGACGCCGCAUCAGUGAUCAAGCUCUUCGCUUCGUAAAACUCUUUAAUUCGGGAAGAACAAAUGUCUAAGUCACCAUGAUCGUCCCGCCGGUACCUAAUCAGAACGCCACCCCUAACUUCGUG